rnacentral:rRNA from 1 species
UACGAAGGGGGCUAGCGUUGCUCGGAAUCGCUGGGCGUAAAGCGCUCGUAGGCGGAUUGUUAAGUCGGGGGUGAAAUCCUGGAGCUCAACUCCAGAACUGCCUUCGAUACUGGCAAUCUUGAGUCCGGGAGAGGUGAGUGGAACUCCGAGUGUAGAGGUGAAAUUCGUAGAUAUUCGGAAGAACACCAGUGGCGAAGGCGGCUCACUGGCCCGGUACUGACGCUGAGGUGCGAAAGCGUGGGGAGCAAACAGG